AAACUUUUCACAACGGAUCUUUUGGCUCUUGGAUCGAUGUAAGAACGCGAGCGAAAUGCGAUAAGGAAUGUGAAUUGCGGAAUUCUGUGAAUCAUCGAAUCUUUGAACGCACAUUGUGCCCGCCGGGACUCUGGGGCAUGCCUUUCCGAGCGUCAUUU
rnacentral:rRNA from 1 species